GAUAAAGGUGCAAUUCUGGAGAUUCCUGCACUCCCUGUGAGGACAGGAAGUGAUCUCACUAUGCGUUGCAGAGAGAGGAGCGGUGACACAGCUGCUGCUUAUUUCUCCUUUAAUGGACGUCCUGUUGGAUCUGGAACAGCAGCAGAGCUCGUCAUCAGAAGGGUUAAACAGUCUGAUGAAGGUCUCUACUCGUGUGCUACUGACGCAUUUGGAUCGUCUCCUCAGAGCUUUCUGAGGGUCAGAGGUCCUCCUCAGCACAGGAGCUCAGACUCCACUCCUCCUGUGAACUCUUCUGUUGACACUGCUUCAUCACCUCCUCAGGGUCUCACCUCCUUUCUCACUGCACUCAUAGCAGGCCUGGUUCCUGUGGUUCUUCUGGUUCUGCUCUUGGUUCUAGUUCGACUUCUUUUCCACUGUAAAAAGCAAAAUGAAGCAAAUGAUACACAUCAAGCUGAUACACAUGUUGUCUACUCUGACGUGAGGAUUCUCACUGCAGAGCAGUCAGCUGAUCCAGGUGUUGUUAUUCAUCACUGAGAGCAGAUUUCCUUGGACGUGUCCCUGAUUCUGCCCUGAAUCCCUGAGUGAAGCUGAGGAUACCCUGGGCCUGAUGGACCUUCAUCCUUCCCUCUGCUCCUCUUCUUCAUGCUGUCUGUGCUUUAGUCUGUUUUAAAUACAGCUGUUAGCUCUCACCUGUGCACACAGUAACAUCUGCUCAGGAAGCAGGUUCAGUAACUCUGAGUUUCCUGUUUUCACCUGUGCAGAUUUCAGACUUGCACACAGAUGCUGUGCUGCACUCUAACACACUCACACACUGAUGGAGGCUGCAGGCUCUUUAGCACAGAGGUCCUCUGACUGCCAAUCCACAGUCUCUGAUUGGUGGGGACCCGCUGUACCCCUGAGUCACAGACAGAAGGAGUAGUGAGAGCUGAGGACACAGGUGUGAAUGAGGGUCUGUGACCUCCUCAGAGAGCUGAGUCUGUGUGACAGACCGUGGAUGUGAGCCUGAGUCGGCAGGUUUCUGUAGUCACACAGCAGGAAGACAGUCACUGUGAGCUCAGCAGCAUUAACAUGCACUGAGAGCG